UUCACAUUUUAAGUGUCUUUAUUUUCAAAAUACCCUCUUUCAAUUUUUGUCCAGAAUCUUCAUCAUCCUUCAUUUCUUUGUUUUUCCAAGUUCUCUUCGGAAAAUUCCCAAUUUCAUGGGUGGAUCUCAUGUUUGUCGAAAAUUUUGGUAUUUCUCGCCGAUAAAGGCCGGAAAUAAACUCCCGAAGGACGCCGCCGUUGGUGACAAUAAGAAGAAUACAGAUAUAAUAAUCCAAUCUAAUCUGUCAUUUUGGUCUAUUAUUACUUUCUCGGCUUUUCUUUUUAGUUUCUUAGUAUCUCUGGCCAUUAGCUAUUAUUUUAUUUCUAGAUUUCUCCAUUUACUCUUUGAUUUUGGCAUUUAUUAAACCUAUGAAUUUUGCUGGGUUUGUUUAUAUAUGGUAAUGUGCUAUGUUGGUUUUGAAGCACAAGUGUAGUACCUCUAUAUGGCUGAAGCAAGAAAGUGUUUGGUUUGGUUAUCUGUUGAAGCUUAAAGAAAAAAGAUUUGAGCUUUAUGAAUCUAUCUUAUUAUUCUAAAGUUCAGUAUUAACUAUUGGUAUAAUUGUAUGUUGAAUCUCUUUUCUCCCAGCUGAGUGAAAAAUGUGGUAUUGAAUGAGAUUUUGUUUAUCUUGCCAAACAGAAUUGGUUUACUGAAGGAGAUAAAUGAAGGGCUUAUUCAUGAUUUCAAAAUGAUUCAUGGAAUAAAUUGUGAGGAUGAUUAAAAAGUUCUUGAACUACAAGUCUCACUGUUUGAGAGAAUGCUUUAUAGGACUAACUCAAAAUGUAUUGGACUGGCUAAGUUAUUACAUGAAUUGUUUUAGAAAAUGUUUUGAAGGAACUGUGUGUAUCUUUUUUACUCUCACUUUGUGCUUCUUCUUCACCUUCUUUCUACGAAAAAACUAUUUUUCUGUUUCUGGUGAGUGCCUUUGCUUCUGCCUCUUUCCUUUUUAUUCCGUGUUUUCUUUUGGUUUCUUUUAAGUGUUUUUUGCUUCUGCUUUGUUUUGGGGUGUUAUCAGUGGUUUUUUAGUUUCCCGCUGCAGAGAAAUAGGGAAAUGGUAGCUUCUUUGUAAGCACUUCCUAAAUUAGUAGAUUCCGCUACUUGGGCUUGCCAAACCUUGGAUGGUAUGUGAUUUGACGCUUCCCUAUCACAUGCAACAGUUCUUUUGCAGCCAUGGCAUGGUAUCCUUCUCUUUGCCCCAUUAGAAAUGCAGACUAAGCCUUAAUAUUGCAGGUCCCUCUGAACAUUGUUUGGUGGAAACCCAUUUUCAUUUCUGUUUUAUUCAGCUCAUAGAAAGGCAUCAAUGGGAAAUAGGAAUUACUUAUUCAGUUAUGUUGGUAACACUAGGAUUCUCAAGUGAGUGUUGUUUUUCUUCAUAGCUGAUUAUUUCGUCACUAUUCAUUUAUGAAUCCAACCAAAUAUGUUUUGAGUCUUUGAUGUUGUAAAAUUCACUACUAAAGGCAGUACUACUGUACUGUGAAAAAAAACGAGGGAAAAGAAAAUAAGCUUUCCUUGGGGGUGGAGAAAAGAGUCAGCACAUUAUAUUGUGACUCUAGGCGAGGUUAGUAAUAAAAGGCAUUAUGAAAUGGCGUGUUUAUGCACUUAGCGAGCUCAUUUCAAUUGCGAGAUAAUAAAAGAAGACUUUUUAAUGGUAUUUAACAAUUGUUAAUCUCCAUUGUCAUCUACUUUAUCUUUGUUGCUCUCAAGUCAAUAAAAUAGGACGGGUGAUUUAUCAGUUCUUCAUUAUUUUGAUAUGGAAUUAUUUUGUUAGUGUACUAGUUGAAUUUGUCUCUGCUCGACGCUGGUUGAGGCUUAUCUAUAAUAUGCUGUCCAAUUUUGUUGAUGCAUUUCCUAAUAUUUGGUUGCAGGUCCCCGAUUUCAUCCUAUGUGGUAUAUAUAAGCUCUAGCAGUUUAAUAAAUAUAUCAAAUUAUAGCAAAGACUAUUGGAAGGAUGGAGUACAAUUAAUGUCCUGUUUCACGGGUAUGGUCAAUAUGACAUAUUGGAGACCAUUUCAGAGAAGGUUCACCAGAAGUUAGAAGAAUAAAAAGCAGAGAAGCAAUUUGAAAUCCUUUUAGUUGGCCAUGGUAGUUCCAGAAGAAGUGAAGAUUGGGCCUAAAGUAAUCAAGAAGCUGGAGAUUUCAUCUUUAUGCAACAACACGAAGACAAGUAAGUACAUUUUUGGGUGAACUCAAUGGCAUUGUCAGGAAAAUCCAAGUAUGUAUAUUAUCAAUUUCAAUUUCCUCCAUGCUAUGCCUCCGCCCUGUUCUUUUUCUGAUCUGAAAAAUACUUGCUUGGCUUUGCGGUUUUGAAAUGUGAUGAACAUUUCAUAUGGAGCCAAAUCCUUUUGCCAUUGCAAGAGAUUUACUUAUGCCCGCACCCAAACUGAAAAAGUCACAACAGUUUGAUCAUUAUAAGGUAGUUUAAGCCGAAAAUGUAUCAUCUCUUUUGUAAAAAUGAUUGUUAUAUUUCUUUGUCUCACUACAUACUGAAUAGUAUCUAAUAUGUUGUAAUUUUGAAGUCAAAAGAGGUAAGAAACAAAUAGAAGGGAACUUUUAAAACUCUUAUUCGGAAAAAAAAGGGAACUUUUAAAAUUCAGCUUUCUAUAUUUAGAGUUUUUGAGAUUGACAAAGGGAAUAUUGGUUCUUUUGAACAUUAGUGAUGACUUAAGUGAUAAAGAGAGAGACAAUUUAGAAGAAGAAGCUAAUGAUUCUUCUAUAACUGAGUGUUCUUUUGUGGAAGAAGGUGAAUACACUGUUUUAAUUGAGUUCAUUAUUCCAUCCACAGUUUGGUAGCAGACAUGAGAAAAGAAAGAUAACCAAGUCAACUUUUUGUCAAGGGCCAAGUUCAUAAGCAUAUAAUUCCUUCACAUGGAGGAAAUGUGGUUGCUGAGGACAAGAAAGGAUGAAGGUUGCUUGAACAAGCUUCAUAUUAGCCUUGGCUCGGCAUUAGUUGAUAAUGAGAAGGCAUUAAUGCUGGUAAAAUAAUGCCGGAUGUAAAACUACCUUUGAUGUCAUUAGCCAAUUGAUAUAUUCAAGGCUUAUUCUGUAAAUGGUUGAUGUGAGGUGUUCUCAAAUUUGUGAAGUUGGCGACCAAGUGCCCAAACGUCAAAUAGGAAUGAGCAACUCCAAUCAGUUUUCUUGAAGAUGUCUGCUCCUGAUGUCUCUUUAGUUCCUUGGUAAUUUUUAUAGGCUGGUUAGAGUUAGACUAACUUUGAGAUAUAUUCUAUGAAUUUCCUUUAUGGGAUAAGAGCUCUUCCAAAUUUAGCUUAGAGUUAGGAUUGGAGAGGUGACCUAAGUCAACUUCUUAAGACAUUCUUUGAUGGUAGUAUUGGCAUAGAUGAUUCUUGCGUCCCUU